GCAGAUUUCUGCUCCCAGAGGUGGGAAAUGUCGCUCAGGACGCAAUGCGGCGUUAUAUGAUAAACCACAUAUGAUACACCUGAUGGGAUUCAUCAGACUUACUUGAGCUUGUCCAAAAAUGAAACAUCUGGUUGAAGAUAUUUUUUCAGCUUAUUCAGGGCUGAAAUGAAUCAUUGUCAAGAGGUACAUGCACCUCCAGCAGGUGAUUCAUCCCUUGCCAGGGUGCUGAGACUCUCUUGAGGAUAGUGUGCUGAUUGACCGCAAAGUCUGUAAAGGCAGGUACAAUAGAGACAAGAGAAAGCACUCCUACCAGAAAUGCUGAUUCAUGAUGUUGAGAGAAGAUAGAAAUGACACAACUGAGGGGAAGAGGGAGAAGGAGUUCAGCUACACGUGUUGCUCCCCAGCCUCUAUCUCUGUCUGUUCAGCCUGUUCUCUGCUGCAUUCAGUAUCAGUAGGAUACAAGAGUGGCCAGAUGCUGGCCAAUGAGACUGUCUACAGAAAAGUUCUCAUGUACCUCAGUUAUGAAAAAAAAUCUCCAACAACAACAACAAAAAACUCAACAAUUUUUAAUUAAGUACAGAUGAAGAGCAGAGAGAUGUGCACCCUUCAGUAGAAGACUGAAAAGCACCCAGCGUUGAGAAAGUACCACUGAGGGACAUGGAGAUGAAACCAGCAUAGUCCAGAGUCUGUUCCAUGGCUCUCUUCUCCAGAAGUAUGUGUUCACUUGAAAAAGUCUUAAAAGAACAAAAAGCCUUUUGGGAAUUAGGAACAAGUUUACAAUUUCUACUCAUGGCUUCCCAUCUGCAAACACCAUUGUCAUUACUCAUCUAAUUUUCCAUAGAAAGAAGAUUGAUGCAGGGAUCCUAUCUUUCAGGUCAACAUGCUCUCCUAAAUGCUAGUCGGACAAGAACACUGAAAACAAAAUGAUCCAUUUCAUUACUAAUUUCAUCUUAAUUUCUGAAUGUCAUAUAUGCUUUUUUAAAAAUCUUCAGAGUAUUAGUGUUUCUCUGCCAUUGAUAAACUUUAGUUUUACUCAUAAUGAGAUAAGGGUCUCUUUUUUUCAGAUAAGACAACUGAGGCUGAGAAGGAAAUUGAUUAUCUGUUAAUUUUAGUAUCUGUAUGUGACUUUUUGAAGAACUUAGCAUUACUAAGCCCUUUGUGUAUAUAUAUAUAAAUAACCUCACUAAAAAGUUUCUCUAAAGGAUUAUUGAUCCAGGGUUAGGAAAGUGGCUAUGCUGCUUUCAACAUGGCAUUAUACAUUAAUAUUUAAGGUAUCUAUUCCACAGAUUUCCUUGUAAAUCAAUAUUUAAAACAUGUAUACCACCAAAUUCAGUUGCAACAGUGAGUCCUCAGCAUUUCUGCAAAUCUAGCAUCCAAAUUACAAGUCAACCAACUAGAAAACAAGGAGACAAGUGGUGAACGCUUGUAAAAAUGAUGAUUUGAGUAACAUACCUAACAUCACAUGGAAGCACUCACGAUUGAUAUAACUCUUACUCUUCUUGAAGUUAUUACAUACCUUUCAGCAGAUGGAGUGAGAAAGUCCAGAAGUUUGUAAAGCUAAUGAUAUAUUGCUCCUUUAUUCAGAGCAGAUCCAUUCUGCACAAUUUAAAGGGAACACACUCCAUGGAAAAAGUUCUGACUAAUUUGAAGCUAGGAUAAAACAUACAGACAAUAAGAGUGAGUGAAUGGAGAUUGCAUGAGUGAACUUAAUUCUAGCAUCCUAUCCCUUGCGUCCUUGAUUCUCCAGCUGUUUUCAAACCUUGGCAGAGAUAAUUACUUCCUUCUUCCUUAAAUACCCAUGUCCAUUGGUCCUCCUGAAAUAUUUAACAAGGAAAGAUUAUGCUGAUAGCCAGCCUUAUCCUCUUACAAGCUUACACAGUAGCAGCAACACCCUCUAAUUAUGCCUUUAAGUCUCAGUGCCACACCAGUGAAACUCACUUGGCAGUGUGUAUACUGCUAGGUCCUGGAUUAUGGGUGGAGGCCAUCUUGACUGUCGCAGUAAUUGUUGCUAUCUGCUCUUACUGUCCUUUCAUUCUGCAUGUCAACUAGUUGGGAAAGACUAGAUACCAAAAGCUCACUUUACUUACAUCCUGUGUGGGAUAUU
ensembl:lncRNA